rnacentral:rRNA from 1 species
AGAGUUUGAUCAUGGCUCAGAAUCAACGCUGGCGGCGUGCCUCAGACAUGCAAGUCGAACGAUUAAAGCUCUCUUCGGAGAGUGUAUAGAGUGGCGCACGGGUGAGUAACACGUAAGUAAUCUACCUUUGAGUGGGGAAUAACAGUCGGAAACGACUGCUAAUACCGCAUAAUGCAGCGGCACCGCAAGGUGACAGUUGUUAAAGGAGCAAUCCGCUUAAAGAGGAGCUUGCGGCAGAUUAGCUAGUUGGUAAGGUAAUGGCUUACCAAGGCUACGAUCUGUAUCCGGUCUAAGAGGACGGUCGGACACACUGACACUGAAUAACGGGUCAGACUCCUACGGGAGGCAGCAGUCGGGAAUUUUGGGCAAUGGGCGAAAGCCUGACCCAGCAACGCCGCGUGAAGGAUGAAGUAUUUCGGUAUGUAAACUUCGAAAGAAUAGGAAGAAUAAAUGACGGUACUAUUUAUAA